rnacentral:rRNA from 1 species
UACGUAGGGUGCGAGCGUUAAUCGGAAUUACUGGGCGUAAAGCGUGCGCAGGCGGUUUUGUAAGCCAGAUGUGAAAUCCCCGGGCUCAACCUGGGAAUUGCAUUUGUGACUGCACGGCUAGAGUGUGUCAGAGGGGGGUAGAAUUCCACGUGUAGCAGUGAAAUGCGUAGAUAUCAGGAGGAACACCUGUGGUGUAGACAGCUUACUGGACCACUUCUGACGCUGAGACACGAAAGCGUGGGUAGCAAACAGG